CCCAUCAGCCUGGCUGUACCACCUUCCCCAAACCACAGCCCGUACUUGCUGGGUUGUUUUUCACUAAGAGUUUCCUUUUCUCCUUCUCCCAGGCUCCCUCUGCCUUGGGAAGCUGUGGAUCUCUGUGACGAGAGUUUGUUUUUUUCCAACUACACCAGGACUCAUCUGAACGGCUGCGAAACCGGAGGUCACUGCCAAAUCUAAACCACGGCAGUGUGCGAUAGGCUCAAAAUGAGCUGCUCCAGUACUUUAAUACGUACCAACAAUUGGCUAUGUUAUGGAAUCCACGAUGUGGCCUUCACUGUUGACCUCUGCAACACAAUUCCCAGUCUGACUACGGAAACUGUUUGGUUUGAUCCUUUCAACUUAUUUGAAUCCUGACAAAUAAGCUCACAGCUGAAAGGUCAACACAGUCAUAUUUCAUCCUCUGGAGCUAUUCUUAAGACAUCUGCACAACAAAGCACUUCUUUUAGUACCUGACACUGGACCUAGCCAGCACAAUCUCUCAUUAAAAAUGUCCCCAGUGGAAGAGUCUAUUAAAAGGCAUAUGGAUCAGCUAUGGAUUUACCAAAUAAAAUAUUUUUGAAAGCAUUAAUGUAACGCUUUGGAUUAUGGCUCUCGACGCUGCCAAUAAAAUGUAUAUUUGCCCAAUGACAAAAUGCUUCAUACUUUCCAAAAGAAUAAUAGCCCGGCUGUAAAGCACGAGGUGUUGUCCAGCAGCCGGAGCACAGGGGUGGGAGCCAGGAACUCAUGAAUCUUAAUCCUACCUCUAAACCCAAUUCCCUCUGUGAUCCUAAGUGAGUUGCUUAACCCGCUUCCCUCAGUUUCCCAGUCCAGAACCGGGAUAAUGCUACUUACUUAUCAGACUUUCCUUCUGGGGAUGUUUUGGAGAUUAGUAUUUGCAAAAUGCUUUGAAGAUGAAAUCACUACACCAAAGCUCGACGUUGUCCACACUGGGCCAAGGGCUGCAGCUAACAGCUAUUCCUCACUCAAGCAAAACUCCCCUUGAAGUCCCCAUCAGCUUUAUUUGGGUAAGAAGCAGAGAUUCGGGCCCUCUCACUUUACUGUCAAGGCCUCUAGCGAUGCUGGCUUUACCUUCCAUAUUCUACUACAUAUUUAAAGAGCCUAGCAUCCGCAUUUUUGUUGGAAAAUAAUCUGAAGCACAUAUAAAAGGCAAGAGAAGCAGCAAUGCUGUCAGGGAGCUCAUGGUGAUAGUAUAUCAAACUAAAAAAAAAAAAAAAAAAAAAAAAAAAAGAAGUAGAAAGAGCAAAACAGACAUGAGUUUGACAACGUGCUAUGACAACAAGAGGAAAAAAAAAUCCGGAAAGAAUUUGGGGCUACAGAGGCUGAAGCAUCAGAUAUAGAAGAGCGAGAUAAGAUAAAUGUCCCAGCUAAAGGGCUUUGUGCAACUGCAGCUGAACUGCUGCAUUCAGGACCUUAUUAUCAAAAAUCCACUGACAUGCUGCAAUUGCAGAGAGCAGUAAUAAAAGCAACAACCAGCUGCAAACCAGCAAAGUGGUCAAGGGUCUGGAAGUGCCAGUUUAUGAAAUACAUAAAGAACUAGAUACAUAUAAUUUGCCAAAACUGGCAAGUAUAUGUUAGUAUCUCAGAUGUUUGAGGAGUGUGAACACGAGGCAAGGCAAGGGACUGACUCAGUAUUUAUACAAGCAGUAUUACUUGGAGCAAGAGGAUGGAAUUAAAGUGGAAAGUUCCUGAGCAUGUGCUUUGUUAUGGAAAACUAUCCAAAGGAAAAUAAUAGCAGUCCCACCAUCACUUGGGAUUUCUAACACUAGAAUAGCAAAAAAAAAACAAACCAACAAAACCAACCAAAACCAAAAAACUGUGAUACAUGACCUAAUAGGUCUUUCUUGUCUUU